AUGGAAGAUAAGAAAGGCCUUAGGCUUAACUGAUGCACUGUUGGAUUUCAUGAUUUUUGGAGAACAUUACAGGCCAACUUGAAUCUUAGCAGCCAAGGACCUGGAUUAUAUUCCCAAGAAGCACUUCUUGAUUUUCAGUUUGGAAGCCUAUACAGACCAGGACAGCUUGUCUCCAUGCCACAGGCACUGCAGUACCAGAAUGCUCUUUUCUGCUUGCCACGGACAUGUAUCCAGCACUUUGACUUCCAAAACCUGAUUUGAGGGCCUGUAGGGC
rnacentral:lncRNA from 1 species